UACAGAGGGGGCAAGCGUUGUUCAGAAUUACUGGGCGUAAAGGGCGCGUAGGCGGCCUGCUAAGUCGAACGUGAAAUCCCCGAGCUCAACUCGGGAACUGCGUCCGAUACUGGCAGGCUUGAAUCCGGGAGAGGGAUGCGGAAUUCCAGGUGUAGCGGUGAAAUGCGUAGAUAUCUGGAGGAACACCGGUGGCGAAGGCGGCAUCCUGGACCGGCAUUGACGCUGAGGCGCGAAAGCCAGGGGAGCAAACGGG
rnacentral:rRNA from 1 species